GCAGGGCUACAAUAGGUGUGCCCCAGCAUCUCUGGGUGAGCAUUUCUUUGAGCGCCUCACUCUCAAGCAUGACUAGGAGG
rnacentral:pre_miRNA from 1 species